rnacentral:rRNA from 1 species
GGGUUGUGAGGUUAAGCGACUAAGCGUACACGGUGGAUGCCCUGGCAGUCAGAGGCGAUGAAGGACGUGCUAAUCUGCGAUAAGCGUCGGUGAGGUGAUAUGAACCGUUAUAACCGGCGAUUUCCGAAUGGGGAAACCCAGUGUGAUUCGUCACACUAUCAUUAACUGAAUCCAUAGGUUAAUGAGGCGAACCGGGGGAACUGAAACAUCUAAGUACCCCGAGGAAAAGAAAUCAACCGAGAUUCCCCCAGUAGCGGCGAGCGAACGGGGAGGAGCCCAGAGCCUGAAUCAGUGUGUGUGUUAGUGGAAGCGUCUGGAAAGGCGCGCGAUACAGGGUGACAGCCCCGUACACAAAAAUGCACAUAUUGUGAGCUCGAUGAGUAGGGCGGGACACGUGGUAUCCUGUCUGAAUAUGGGGGGACCAUCCUCCAAGGCUAAAUACUCCUGACUGACCGAUAGUGAACCAGUACCGUGAGGGAAAGGCGAAAAGAACCCCGGCGAGGGGAGUGAAAAAGAACCUGAAACCGUGUACGUACAAGCAGUGGGAGCCUCUUAAUGGGGUGACUGCGUACCUUUUGUAUAAUGGGUCAGCGACUUAUAUUCUGUAGCAAGGUUAACCGAAUAGGGGAGCCGAAGGGAAACCGAGUCUUAACUGGGCGUUAAGUUGCAGGGUAUAGACCCGAAACCCGGUGAUCUAGCCAUGGGCAGGUUGAAGGUUGGGUAACACUAACUGGAGGACCGAACCGACUAAUGUUGAAAAAUUAGCGGAUGACUUGUGGCUGGGGGUGAAAGGCCAAUCAAACCGGGAGAUAGCUGGUUCUCCCCGAAAGCUAUUUAGGUAGCGCCUCGUGAAUUCAUCUCCGGGGGUAGAGCACUGUUUCGGCAAGGGGGUCAUCCCGACUUACCAACCCGAUGCAAACUGCGAAUACCGGAGAAUGUUAUCACGGGAGACACACGGCGGGUGCUAACGUCCGUCGUGAAGAGGGAAACAACCCAGACCGCCAGCUAAGGUCCCAAAGUCAUGGUUAAGUGGGAAACGAUGUGGGAAGGCCCAGACAGCCAGGAUGUUGGCUUAGAAGCAGCCAUCAUUUAAAGAAAGCGUAAUAGCUCACUGGUCGAGUCGGCCUGCGCGGAAGAUGUAACGGGGCUAAACCAUGCACCGAAGCUGCGGCAGCGACACUAUGUGUUGUUGGGUAGGGGAGCGUUCUGUAAGCCUGUGAAGGUGGCCUGUGAGGGUUGCUGGAGGUAUCAGAAGUGCGAAUGCUGACAUAAGUAACGAUAAAGCGGGUGAAAAGCCCGCUCGCCGGAAGACCAAGGGUUCCUGUCCAACGUUAAUCGGGGCAGGGUGAGUCGACCCCUAAGGCGAGGCCGAAAGGCGUAGUCGAUGGGAAACAGGUUAAUAUUCCUGUACUUGGUGUUACUGCGAAGGGGGGACGGAGAAGGCUAUGUUGGCCGGGCGACGGUUGUCCCGGUUUAAGCGUGUAGGCUGGUUUUCCAGGCAAAUCCGGAAAAUCAAGGCUGAGGCGUGAUGACGAGGCACUACGGUGCUGAAGCGACAAAUGCCCUGCUUCCAGGAAAAGCCUCUAAGCAUCAGGUAACAUCAAAUCGUACCCCAAACCGACACAGGUGGUCAGGUAGAGAAUACCAAGGCGCUUGAGAGAACUCGGGUGAAGGAACUAGGCAAAAUGGUGCCGUAACUUCGGGAGAAGGCACGCUGAUAUGUAGGUGAAGCGACUUGCUCGUGGAGCUGAAAUCAGUCGAAGAUACCAGCUGGCUGCAACUGUUUAUUAAAAACACAGCACUGUGCAAACACGAAAGUGGACGUAUACGGUGUGACGCCUGCCCGGUGCCGGAAGGUUAAUUGAUGGGGUUAGCGGUAACGCGAAGCUCUUGAUCGAAGCCCCGGUAAACGGCGGCCGUAACUAUAACGGUCCUAAGGUAGCGAAAUUCCUUGUCGGGUAAGUUCCGACCUGCACGAAUGGCGUAAUGAUGGCCAGGCUGUCUCCACCCGAGACUCAGUGAAAUUGAACUCGCUGUGAAGAUGCAGUGUACCCGCGGCAAGACGGAAAGACCCCGUGAACCUUUACUAUAGCUUGACACUGAACAUUGAGCCUUGAUGUGUAGGAUAGGUGGGAGGCUUUGAAGUGUGGACGCCAGUCUGCAUGGAGCCGACCUUGAAAUACCACCCUUUAAUGUUUGAUGUUCUAACGUGGGCCCCUAAUCGGGGUUGCGGACAGUGUCUGGUGGGUAGUUUGACUGGGGCGGUCUCCUCCUAAAGAGUAACGGAGGAGCACGAAGGUUGGCUAAUCCUGGUCGGACAUCAGGAGGUUAGUGCAAUGGCAUAAGCCAGCUUGACUGCGAGCGUGACGGCGCGAGCAGGUGCGAAAGCAGGUCAUAGUGAUCCGGUGGUUCUGAAUGGAAGGGCCAUCGCUCAACGGAUAAAAGGUACUCCGGGGAUAACAGGCUGAUACCGCCCAAGAGUUCAUAUCGACGGCGGUGUUUGGCACCUCGAUGUCGGCUCAUCACAUCCUGGGGCUGAAGUAGGUCCCAAGGGUAUGGCUGUUCGCCAUUUAAAGUGGUACGCGAGCUGGGUUUAGAACGUCGUGAGACAGUUCGGUCCCUAUCUGCCGUGGGCGCUGGAGAACUGAGGGGGGCUGCUCCUAGUACGAGAGGACCGGAGUGGACGCAUCACUGGUGUUCGGGUUGUCAUGCCAAUGGCACUGCCCGGUAGCUAAAUGCGGAAGAGAUAAGUGCUGAAAGCAUCUAAGCACGAAACUUGCCCCGAGAUGAGUUCUCCCUGACUCCUUGAGAGUCCUGAAGGAACGUUGAAGACGACGACGUUGAUAGGCCGGGUGUGUAAGCGCAGCGAUGCGUUGAGCUAACCGGUACUAAUGAACCGUGAGGCUUAACCUUACAACGCCGAAG